GGACAACCGUUGGAAACGACGGCUAAUACCGCAUAAUCUCUACGGAGCAAAGGGGGCUUAGGCUCUCGCCUUUAGAUUGGCCCAAGUGGGAUUAGCUAGUUGGUAAGGUAAUGGCUUACCAAGGCGACGAUCCCUAGCUGGUUUGAGAGGAUGAUCAGCCACACUGGAACUGAGACACGGUCCAGACUCCUACGGGAGGCAGCAGUGGGGAAUAUUGCACAAUGGGCGCAAGCCUGAUGCAGCCAUGCCGCGUGUGUGAAGAAGGCCUUAGGGUUGUAAAGCACUUUCAGUCAGGAGGAAAGGUUAGUCGUUAAUACCGGCUAGCUGUGACGUUACUGACAGAAGAAGCACCGGCUAACUCCGUGCCAGCAGCCGCGGUAAUACGGAGGGUGCGAGCGUUAAUCGGAAUUACUGGGCGUAAAGCGUACGCAGGCGGUUUGUUAAGCGAGAUGUGAAAGCCCCGGGCUCAACCUGGGAACAGCAUUUCGAACUGGCAAGCUAGAGUGUGAUAGAGGGUGGUAGAAUUUCAGGUGUAGCGGUGAAAUGCGUAGAGAUCUGAAGGAAUACCGAUGGCGAAGGCAGCCACCUGGGUCAACACUGACGCUCAAGUACGAAAGCGUGGGGAGCAAACAG
rnacentral:rRNA from 1 species